UCUCAUUACUAAAGUUUUAAGUGGAUGCUUAGGCUCAACAACACAUAUGGACGUAUAUAAUUGCGAAAAGUCACUUGAAGAGAAUCCUCAAAGACAAGUGAAUCUCCACUGUGGUAAACCACAAAAGUUUAUUUUACGAAGGGAACUGAAACAUCUAAGUACCUUUAGGAAAAGAAAUCAACCGAGAUUCCGUAAGUAUUGGCGAAAGAAAGCGGAACAGACAUUGUAAACUUGGAAGCAAUCAGAACAAGGUGGAAUCCUUGACCAAAGAUGGUGAGAGUCCAGUAUUUUUGUCACUUGUUUAUAUUUUAAGUAAAACAAAUCAAAUUGUUUGAAUGUAAGGAGGACCACCUUCUUUGUCUAAAUAUACUGUUGAGACCGAUAGUGCACAAGUACCGUGAGGGAAAAGUGAAAAGAACCCUAGAAAAGGGAGUGAAAAAGAUCCUGAAACUUGAAACGUACAAGCAGUUAAAGAACUUUUACAGUUUUUUAGCGUACCUUUUGCAUAAUGGGUCAGUGAGUAAAUGAAUUCAGCUUGCUUAAGCGGUGACGUGGAGGCGAAGCAAAAGCGAGUAUUAAAAGUGCAUUUUGUUGGAUUCAUUUGACCCGAAACUAAGUGAUCUACCUAUGAACAGGUUGAAGAAAGCGUAAUUUCUUUUGGAGGACCGAACCGACGUCUGUAGCAAUAGGCGCGGAUGAUUUGUGGGUAGGGGUGAAAGGCCAAUCAAACUUAGAGAUAGCUGGUUCUUCGCGAAAUUUAUUGAGGUAAAGCGUUUGUUCAAAGUCAAAAGGGGUAGAGCACUCAUGAAGCUAUGGGGGUCCAAAGCCUUACUGAUCUUCUUGAAACUCCGAAUACUUUAUGACUCAAAGAAAAACAGUCAGACUUAAAGUGCUAAGGUUUUAAGUCAAAAGGGAAACAGCCCAGAAUGUUUGCUAAGGUCCUUAAACAAUAAGUAAGUGGAAAAAGAAGUUUUGUUCCAAAGACAACUAGGAAAUUGGCUUGGAAGCAGCCAUUUUAUAAUGAAAGCGUAAUAGCUCACUAGUCGAGGAAGAAAGCGCUGACAAUGUAUCGGGGCUCAACUUAUUUACCGAAGCAACAUAAACAUGGUAGCGAAGCGUUUUGUAAACCAAUGAAGAUAUUUUGUGAAAAAUAUUGGAGGAUUCAAAAGUGAGUAUACUGACAUGAGUAACGAAAAAUCAUGUGAAAAUCAUGAUCGCCGUAAGUUCAAGGGUUUCUGCGAUCUGGUGUUCAGCGCAGAGUGACUCGGCUUCUAAAUUUGCUGUGAAAACAGUCAAGUGAUGAAUUUCAUUAAACUGACAAAUGAAUACAAAAAAAGACACCAAAUUGGAUAGGUGCUUUUGUUGUUUGAUUUCAGGAAAAGGUUUAAUGUGUGAUGACCGUACCCAAAACCGACACUGGUGAACAAGUCGAAUAGACUCAGGCGUUGAGAUAACCAUGCUGAAGGAACUCGGCAAAAUAUUCCCGUACCUUAGGAAGAAGGGAAACCAAAACAUUGGUGACACAAAAUUGAGGGUGACGACUUUUUACUAAAAAAUUAGGACUCUGCAAAAUGGUAACAUGAAGUAUAGGGUCUGACGUCUGCCCGGUGCUAGAAGCUUAAGAGAAGACUUGCAAGAGUUGAAUUGAAGGCCUAGUAAACGGCGGUUGUAACUAUAACAAUCAUAAAGUAGCGAAAUUCCUUGCCAGCUAAUUCCUGGCCUGCAUGAAAGACGUAACGAUUGCCCUACUGUCUCCAGCAUGGACUCAGUGAAAUUGAAUUUUCCGUGAAGAUGCGGAAAUCGUGCCCCAAGACGAGAAGACCCUAUGCAUCUUUACUGUACAUUUACAUUGAAGAAAGAAAUCAAGUAUGUAGGAAAGGUGGGAGUCCAUACACCCUUGAAAUACCACCUUCUGGGUUUCUUCAUUCUCAUUUGAAUUCAAAAAAAGUGUAAAUGAGGCAGUUUGACUGGGGCGGUCGCCUCCUAAAGAGUAACGGAGGCGUGCGAAGGUAAACUCAAUGGAAGUUGGAAACUUUCUGUAGAAUGUAAUGGUAAAAGUUUGCCUGACUGCAAGACUAAACAAGUCGAGCAGAGACGAAAGUCGGCCAUAGUGAUCCAAAAGUACCGUGUGGAAGGGCUUUUGCUUAACGAAUCAAAGAUACGCUAGGGAUAACAGGCUAAUAAUUCCCAAGAGUCCUUAUCGACGGAAUUGUUUGGCACCUCGAUGUUGACUGAUCAUAUCCUGGGGCUGAAGAAGGUCCCAAGGGUUCGGCUGUUCGCCGAUGAAAAUGGUACCUGAGUUGAGUUUAGAACGUCGUGAGACAGUUUGGAUUCUACCUGGGGUGCGCGCAAGAAUUGAGAAAACUACUUCUUUGUACGAGAGGACCGGAAGUAUUUAACCUCUGGUGGACUGGUUGUUCGGCCACGAGCAUUGCCAGGAAGCUACGUUAAGACAGGAGAACCGUUGAAAGCAUAUAAAACGGGAAACUUUUUUCAAGACAAAUUCUUUUUUUUCGUGAAAGACUCUCACGUUGAUAGGCGAAAUGUGUAAGGUUUGUAAAAAUUGCAGCUUUUUCGUACUAAAAUUUUUUUCACACAAACAA
rnacentral:rRNA from 1 species